CCUGGUCUAGGAGAUAGGGGAAGGUAGAGAACGGGGAAAGGUCAUUGUGUAGGGAAUGUCCCCAGCCAUCAGAAUUGACCAGCCCUGGACCAAAGGAUGGAGAGAGGCCGAGACGGGAAAACGAUGCUAGACGAACCCCAUGCAUCACAGUCUGUUACCCUGGGAGCAGAAAGUGGGGAAAGGAGAGAGGAGAAUAAACCAUCCCUCAUUCAGACUGGUCCAGAAGCAACCCUGCAGACCCACCUCCUUGUAUUUGAGGCUGAGAAAUCCAGAAAAGAAAACCGUGUUGUGUUUUUAGAAACUAGAAAGGAACUCUUCCCGAAGCCCACAUACAAAUGAACUUUUAAUUUGCUCCUUUCAUAUUUAAGGGGACAGAAUAAAAACUGGUCCCAGUUCCCAGGGAAAUCAUGUCUUGUUUAUACUAAUCUGGAAUAUAGCUGGGGAUGGGCACUAUCUAAAAUCAAAUUUUGCCUACUACAAAUCUGUAAAAUGCAAAAGGUUGGUUUAUAGAAUUUUCUAUAUCGUUUCAUUAUUUGUUUUGGAUAAAGAAAAUAUUAAAAAUCA